UACGCAGGGUGCAAACGUUGCUCGGAAUCAUUGGGCGUAAAGCGCACGUAGGCGGCCUUGCAAGUCGGAUGUGAAAUCCCACGGCUCAACCGUGGACGUGCAUCCGAAACUGCUCGGCUCGAGUAUGGAAGAGGGUCGCGGAAUUCCCGGUGUAGAGGUGAAAUUCGUAGAUAUCGGGAGGAACACCAGUGGCGAAGGCGGCGACCUGGGCCAAUACUGACGCUGAGGUGCGAAAGCGUGGGGAGCAAACAGG
rnacentral:rRNA from 1 species